UCUGAAGCUUGAGACGGUCAUAACAGUCUU
rnacentral:piRNA from 1 species